CUAAUUGAUCCACAUGGUGGAAAACAGAAUUAAAUAGAAUACUUUUUGUUCUUUUGAACUGAAUAUUGUAUCUCAGUGGCACUGACUAAAAUAAAUUUCCUUCUUAUAUCUUUCAUAGUUCUACAAAAAUAUCAUAAAAUGUUGUUGACCUCAUUUAUGGAUUUUCCCAGUAAGCCUAGAAAUACCUGCUGUAAUAUGGCACAGCAAUAAAAAGUAGGACUUUGAUGGACGGUGUUGUUUUCCUAUGGCAUCAAGUGUGAAAUCUUGAAGAAGAACAGAAGUUGCUGACUCAUAUUUGCUUCAGCUGUCAGUGGAGUGUUCCUUCCUGUUUCCAGUGGCUAGCAAGCACCAAACCCACAGAUCUUUCUCUUCUGCUCCAGUCACCAGAGAAGCAG
ensembl:lncRNA